rnacentral:rRNA from 1 species
UGCGUAGGCGGCUGGGUAAGUCGCGUGUGAAAGCCCGGGGCUCAACCCCGGAGCUGCAUGCGAGACUGCCCGGCUCGAGCACGGUAGAGGCGGGCGGAAUUCCUGGUGUAGCGGUGGAAUGCGUAGAGAUCAGGAAGAACACCGGUGGCGAAGGCGGCUCGCUGGGCCGUUGCUGACGCUGAGGCACGAAAGCGUGGGGAGCAAACAGGAUUAGAUACCCUGGUAGUCCACGCCCUAAACGAUGGACACUAGGCGUCGGGGGGAGCGACCCUCCCGGUGCCGUCGCUAACGCAAUAAGUGUCCCGCCUGGGGAGUACGGCCGCAAGGCUGAA